AUGGCUGUUAGGCCACCACAGCUGGAAGAGGCUGCUCCUUGGCUGAAGCGUGUUCUUCAGCCUCCUGCAUCCCUGCCGUGGUCAUUAAGGGAUGGCUGUAAUCAGGAACACCAGAACACAGCAGCAGCAGCAGCCCGAGGGCACCAACAGCCUGGGGGACAGGCCUGCUCCCACUCAUCCCUGGCUGUGAGGCAUGCACUUCCUGUCCUCCCUGCUGCGAGACAGUGGUGUUUGCUCCCGCAGCUGAGUGGAGUGCAUGGAGAGAGCUGUCUGACCUGGAUGACACCACCAAAGUGCAAGGACUGGCAUUGCUGACAGAAAUGAAGUUUUCUAGCUCUUGAAUCUGGAGAGAAUAUGGUGAAAAGAAGAUGAGGGCAGUCUGCAUUGAUCAGAAUUUUUGGGGACUUCUGCAAGUGCAGCAUAUGGUGUGUCUCUGAUGCGUGGGAUGAUCACGAUACCUGGGAGGGAGUAAAGAGAGGGAGCUGCAGCAGCAAGCAGAUAAUGUGAAUGCUAUUUAAGGGCAGGUUACAGAAUUACCUGAUUUUUAGCUGAACUGCUUCAACCCAAGUGCUCCCUCAUGAGAUCUGUGUGGGGGUGGAUCUUCAGUGCCUAGCUCUCCCCCUCAGUGCAGGGAGAUAACUGCCUGUGCCUGCUCCUCUUGGAGCCUAGAAGAGCCUAGGGCUCACCAGAAGGGAUCUGGGGGACAGGGAUUGUAUCAGGAAUGCAAGAGCUUUACUUUACUCCCUAGUGCAGCAGGAUUUGCCUUAAUGGGUGGGUGAAAGGAGAGCCGGGGCAGCUGAGGCCGCUCUGUGUGCAUGCUGCCUUUGAAAACAGAGCACGUCACUGCUCCCAGCUCCUGUUUCAUAUUCUGCUGGGAGCUUCUGGUUGCAAUGCUAAUUUCAGCAAAUCUCUGACAAUUUAAGGGGGAGAGGUUUGUGUAAUAUCUGUAGUAUGACCUGUUUCUACUAAGGAAAUCAUCAUAAUUAAAAUACAAGGACAC
rnacentral:lncRNA from 1 species